AAUACGUGGCUCAAGAAACUCAACUAAAUCAUGAGCAAGCCAAUGCUUUGACUACCCUAAAGAGUGGACGUAUAAUAGAUAAUAAGGUUGGGGAGGGUAAUAAUAAGGAAGGAAAAGAAGAAGAGAAGAAUGUAUCACAUGAAAACCCAAAACCUUCUUCAGCUAGUCCACCAUCUACCACAACCCACAUUCCAAAGGCUCCAUUUCCUGAAGCACUUAAUGCACCCUCUCCCUUUGGCAAGAA
rnacentral:lncRNA from 1 species